UGCUGUUGACUUUUUUGACCACCCACCUCAACCAAAAAAGUCCAUCCUCAAGCAGGGAGGAGAUGACCUGGACCAUCUUGCUAUUUCUCAGAGUUCUUGCCAGUUUUAGUAGCUAUGCACCAUAGUUCACAGUUUCAUCAGCAGCUGACAGAUAAACAAGAUUCUAAACCAUUUUAGAUGUAUUGAGCUAGGUUUGCAACUUUGCCAUAGCGUGAAUAUCCUAGGGAGAAGCCAGCUUGGUCAUCAGUCAGCUACCUUUCCACUAUUGGUGCUAUUCUACCCAUUAUAAUUCUCUCAUUUGGCUUGUAGGUUGAGCAAUGUAUGGAUGUUGGGUGGUAGCUCUUUGCAGAGUUAAGGUUUUUAUGUGAUUUAAGUAGUGCAGCCACUUGUCUGCUCCACAUCCUGGGUAUCUGCAUUGUCUCCAUGCAAGAAUUAAAGAAGACAAGCAGCCACUUCUAUAUUCCUGUGCCAAAGUAAUAAUAAUUAGACACACCAUCAAGUCCAGUUGCCUUUCCACAUUUCAGUUUCAUGUAUUUGUUUUCUUGCACAGGAGAACAAGUGUAUGAAACUGAAACCUUAUUGCUUAAGGGCUGACCCUUUUUCUUGGUAACAUUUUAGUGCUGUUUAUAGCAGUGGAACAUCACAUUCAUAAUUCUGGCUCUGUUCCAAGAUGUGAGUUCACAAAAUGAAACCCCCUGAAGACUGAUGCUUGGUUCUUUUGAGCAUGGACAUACUAUAACUAAAAUAAUAAAUAUAUAUUUAGACAACUAGAAAAAUUGCUCUAGGAAACUAAUGGAAAUUGUUUUUCAACCAAGUAGAAAAGUCUUGGUCUUCAAAAUAGGUAUGCAGAUUUUGUCAUUUUGUUCUUCAGUGCCUUUGAGCAACUGAAGAACUUUAUUCAUACUGAGAUUCCUUCAGUCACCAUUUUCUUUUUCUGUCUGGUAUAUUUUUAAAAUGUUGCAUACAAGUAACAGUAGAAGCGAGAAUGUGCAUACACAAACUUCCGCUUCAAAGAUCCGUGCAGUGGGGUGCUAGAGCAAAACAGAUUUUGAGAGAAAAGUCUGCAGUGGCUUUCCUGGGACACAAGAGAGAGAAGGACCACACAUCUAGCAAAGAAAUAAAAGAUGGAGAUACAUAUUCAGUGGAAUAGAGGUUUGACCAGUCUGAAAUGUAGUAGGGCUGUGGCAGAGGAGCCUAGGAACUUGCUGAGGUGUGGACAGAACUAGUCAGUAGUGUGGGUUUCCUCAUAAUUGAACUCUACAUCUAACCACCUUUGCUCUUUAUAUUCAUACUGUCAGCAUAGUGUGUUGGAAGGUUAAAAAGUCCAAAGUUUAACUUAGUAAAUUUACUGACUUUUACUUGCAAGAACAUAAUGUGAAGUGAGCAAAACCAUUCCAAGUUACUUAGUGUGUCUUCCAAUUGCCUUGCAUUUUAGAAUAGUCUGCUGCUUAAUCGUUCCGUCAUUUAAGAUUUGUAAUAAGUUUUAUUUAUAAAUAGUAUAUUUAAGUGUGUCCAUUUAAAAUUAUUUUUUCUAAAUAGAAUUGUUAGCUUAACAUUUGGGCAAAGGAGGAAAAUCCUUUAACCCAGUAGUUCUCAAACUUUUGUACUAGUGACCCCUUUCACACAGCUAGCCUCUGAGUGCAACCCCCCCUUAUAAAUUAAAAACACUUUAAAAAAUAUUUAACACUAUUAUAAAUGCUGGAGGUGAAGUGGGGUUUGGGGUGGAGGCUGACAGCACACAAAUCUCCCUUCCCCCACGUAAUAACCUCACGACCCCCACUUUGAAAACCCCUGCUUAACCAUUUAUAUGCUUUUACUGUAAUGCUUCAGAAUGAUUGCUUAAUUUUAUCAGAAAGCCUAGCGAUAAGUAUUGCAUAAUACAGAAUUGGUUCCGAAAUAAGGAAAUAAUCAUUCUGUAUUGCUUAUUUGUGUCCCUGUCCACACACAGGGAAGAAUUCUAAAGUAAAUGAUCAAACUGCCUCUUUCUGCCAGUAGUUGUGUGGAAAGACAAAGUCCUCUUCUACCUAAAGAUUUUUCUUCGUGUAGUUGUUGUGUUUAAAUCUGACAAGAAGAGUGGCACCUGGGAAAAAGCUAGGAGCAAUAUAGAACUGUUUCUGUUUUUACCUCCAAAUACUUAAGAAUGCUCUUCGUCUUCCUUCAUUGGCCUUGCUUACAAUAAUCCAAAGCAAUGUCAUUAAAAUGUAUGCUGCUUGAGCCAAAUUCUCUUCUGUUCUACUGGUCUAACAGCAGAUUUUGGUCUUCCUUGUUUCAUUCAGAAGUUGGCUGCAGUCAGUAUUAAGGAUGAAACUAUAGACUGUUUUCUAAAAGAUGAUAAUUUGAUAAUGACUUCAUAAGGAAACUUGAAGUUUCACUUGUCUAGUAUUAACUUGUCACCUCCUAGACUUUGUGCAUUGUGGUCAUGUGUGAGUGAGUGAAUCUUGCCACUUUCCUUUUAAGUUCUUUAACGUCUUCAGCUGUUUGGUCACUCCCUUAUUAGUAAUGAGAAAACCUUUGUCACUGGUUUUGGUGGCCUAUGUAAUGAUGGUAAUCUCAUCUGCUUUCCAGGUGUCCCACCACAAGUGGAAUCCUUGUUACCAGUCUUGACAGAGACCAAGGAUAGAAUAGGUACAAGAGACUGAUCCACCUCCUUAGCUCAGGAUGGAUCAUGGGUCUGUUCCAAUAUGGAAAUUCCACUUGCUCUUCUGACAAAUGCCAGCUCAAAAUCCCCAUAAUGCACCUUGUCAAAGACCUGUGCCAUAAGCAUUGGAUUGUUUCAUAACAGGGAUGCCUUAGACAAUUUAAUUGAUUAUUUUACCUUUGUUACCACCACUCAGUUUAACAUUCUGGGGCAGAGGGUAGCUCCCCCUGUAUCUGUCCACCAUUUCUCUAUUUCAGUGCAGUGUCCCCCAUGUCUCCAGCAUAGGGUGGUGAGGAUGUCAGUGAAAGCCUCUUAUCUUCUGUACCCUCUAACAGCAAGCAUUAAUUAAUGUAAACCAAAAUGAUGGACUUAUUUACACAUUUUUUUUGUUUAGAUUUACAUGAUACCUGAUACACUUAUCUAAGGCCCUAAGCACGUGUAUCAUGAAGUCAUCAGCACUUUCCUCUAGAUCUUCUUGAAAGCACCGGUCUUAGAUCUCUUCCAGAUUUUAGGGAUCUGCCACUUACUUCGUAGAGCUACCCUUGCCCUCCCCCCCACCACCCCAUGUUUGAUUACUUGCAUUCAUCAGUAUCUUGCUUUUUUAAGCUCGACAGUAUGCACAAGAAUGUAAUUCUUGUAUUGUAGGUACCAAGUACAACCACUUAAGCCAGGACUGUGCUAGUAAGAUUCCUAUUUUGUUGUUGAAAUAAAUUUUUAAUUUCUAUUUUAUACCCCAUGCCACCUGGACUCCUAUUCCUCCUUGUUCUCUUCCCUCACCCAUGGGCUUGAUUGUCUUUCUUGAUUUGGGCCACUACUUCCUUUCCUUGAUUGUCUUCAUCUGUGUUCCUUUUCUGUUCUGGAGCUUUCCUGGUGCAUGUUAUGGUUAUUGUCUGGCUUCAGAUUUUAAGUGUUUUGCUUGUGGCUAAACUAUUUUGAACUUUCUUCUAUUAAACAGGCUUAUUCUGAAGUUUAAAAAGUAGAGUGGGGACAGCAUAGUGUGUGUGUGUGUGUAUGUAUGUAUGUAUAUUAGGGCUGUCGAUUAAUCAGUUAACUCACACAAUUAACUCAAAUUAAUCGGGAUU